UUCAUUCAAAGAAAUUUCCCAAACCAAAUUGUUUUGGUGCGGAAUCCUAUGAUAAGACCGAGGUGAACUAUGUUGUUUGGAUAAAUAAUCCAAUCAAGUAGCGUAAAUAUUCGCUAGACAUGAUUAAUAUGUUAUGCAUGACGUAAGAGUACGAUAGGCUAAUCACCUAAAGUACAAGCAACGAUAGUUUACCUUCUUUGUGAUUGUAA
rnacentral:lncRNA from 1 species